GGGAUCGUGGGGUAGCUUGGUAACCUUUGGCGUUUGGGACGCCAUACCCCCGGUUCAAAUCCGGGCGAUCCCA
rnacentral:tRNA from 1 species